AGAACUGAACGCGCCGCAUCCCAACUACUGCUCCACAACCAGCUCAAACUUGCUGACAAAGAACAUUCCGCCUUCAGACGGCGUUCAUUGGCCAGUCUUCUAAAGUGGGCGGAGCUUCUGUCUGCUACUCGAAAACCUAUUGGCUGUUUGAAGUGGCGGUCUUUGCUAGUUAGCAUAACCAGGCCGGGUUGCAGACGCAGGGCAGGGAGCUGAACUUGUGCGUCGCUCCGGCUUCUAACUUUAAUCUGAACACUGAUUUAUUUGACAUUAAAAUGCGCGACUGGUUGGGAUAAAUCAAGACAUUUAGACGGAUAUGUAUAUUUAUUAUUUUCAUAUUAAUAUGUUUGAAUGAUUACAGAAAUAAACUUGAUCCACUGUGCGUGUGACAGCGGCUAACCUGGUUUUGGGAAUACCUCUGACUGCUACUCGUGGAUCGUAGGACACCUGCAAGCACCCCCUUAUAAUGUACUUCCACUGAGGCCAUCAUCCUGUUUCUGCACCUUAUAGAGCUAAAGUUACGGUGCCAGCAGCAGUUUCCGCCCAGGUCAGCAAUGACUUUUGAUGGCUUUUGUUUCUGUUUAGUAAUUGUUUAAUUUAAUCAACUAAGGAAGAGGUACUGGAGACCCAACAGGACAACUGAGAGCGACAAAGUUAAAGAUGACAUUUUCAUCUCUUUUGAAAAAACAAAAAGCUAAAUGUCUCAUUUUAACUCUUGUACACCUUACUUAAUUUUCACUCUUAUUAUAAUUUAACAUUACGUCAGUUAAAUCAAGUUUGUGUAAUCUUUACUUUUGUCUGUAUAUAAACCAUGCUUCACUUAUUAAGUGACAAGAAUCAAUGGUUCUAGAAUGUAAAUUUAUGAUUAUAAUGUGGAAAUUGUUCACUUCUACAUAAUAGAAAUAUAUUUCAAACACCUUCUGUCUGUUUAUUUAUACAUCAUUUAACUUUUGUUUAAAAUCUUUCGUUUUUUUUUUUUUUACAGACUUCAUAAGUUGUGUUGUUGUGUGAUGAAACAAAUAAAUAAGGAGCAGCAUCUGGAGAGCAUCCUUAAAACUCA